rnacentral:rRNA from 1 species
AAUGGUCCCAGUUCAGAUUGCAGGCUGAAACUCGCCUGUAUGAAGACGGAAUUGCUAGUAAUCGCGAAUCAGAAUGUCGCGGUGAAUACGUUCCCGGGUCUUGUACACACCGCCCGUCACACCAUGAGAGUCGGUAACACCCGAAGCCUGUAGCCUAACCGCAAGGAGGGCGCAGUCGAAGGUGGGAUUGAUGAUUGGGGUGAAGUCGUAACAAGGUAGC